rnacentral:lncRNA from 1 species
CUGUUAUUAAUAUUAUUUAGGACUACUUAUCCCCCCUCCCUUUUAUUUUUCUUCUAAUUCGCUUCUGCUAUCGUAAUUCACUGUCUAGUUCGCUUCCUGCUCGCUCUUUUCUUGAUCUUCAUCAUUCUUCUUCUUCUGGUUCUUCUAAUUUUGAGCUGAUGGUCUAUUGGAAAUAACCUCCCUAAUUCACUAGAUAAGGAUAAGGUCUGCGUACACACUAUCCUCUCCAAAUUCUAUUUACGGAAAUAUACUUGAUUUGUUGUUGUAAAUCUAUCUCGCAUCAGACCAAGUUGAAGGAUUAGUCAUGAACUCAAUUUCAAGAUGGUUGAACUGAGGCUACCACAUGGCACGGAUAGUUCGAAUUCCAGAUAGUUCUUGCCUUUUGGUCAAAGAAUAAUGUCGAUG